GUGCCAGCAGCCGCGGUAAUACGGAGGGAGCAAGCGUUAAUCGGAAUUACUGGGCGUAAAGCGCACACAGGCGGUUUGUUAAGUCAGAUGUGAAAUCCCCGGGCUCAACCUGGGAACUGCAUCUGAUACUGGCUAGCUUGAGUCUCGUAGAGGGGGGUAGAAUUCCAGGUGUAGCGGUGAAAUGCGUAGAGAUCUGGAGGAAUACCGGUGGCAAAGGCGGCCCCCUGGACGAAGACUGACGCUCAGGUGCGAAAGCGUGGGGAGCAAACAGGAUUAGAUACCCUGGUAGUCCACGCCGUAAACGAUGUCGACUUGGAGGUUGUGCCCUUGAGGCGUGGCUUCCGGAGCUAACGCGUUAAGUCGACCGCCUGGGGAGUACGGCCGCAAGGUUAAAACUCAAAUGAAUUGACGGGGGCCCGCACAAGCGGUGGAGCAUGUGGUUUAAUUCGAUGCAACGCGAAGAACCUUACCUGGUCUUGACAUCCACGGAAGUUUUCAGAGAUGAGAAUGUGCCUUCGGGAACCGUGAGACAGGUGCUGCAUGGCUGU
rnacentral:rRNA from 1 species